UACGGGGGGGGCAAGCGUUGUUCGGAAUUACUGGGCGUAAAGGGCUCGUAGGCGGCCAACUAAGUCGGACGUGAAAUCCCUCGGCUUAACCGGGGAACGGCGUCCGAUACUGGAUGGCUUGAGUUUGGGAGAGGGAUGCGGAAUUCCAGGUGUAGCGGUGAAAUGCGUAGAUAUCUGGAGGAACACCGGUGGCGAAGGCGGCAUCCUGGACCAAUACUGACACUGAGGAGCGAAAGCCAGGGGAGCAAACGGG
rnacentral:rRNA from 1 species